rnacentral:rRNA from 1 species
AUGGAAGAAAAACUCUCUUCUAUGCGACAAGAUGUCAUUCAGGAAUUUGUGGUGCUUUAUCAAAGAGUAGGGCCUUAUCUACCGAUCGAGCCCUACUUGGUCGAUGAAGCGCUUCGUUCCUAUCUGGACCAUAUUCAUGCAACUGAUUCUUUCACUGUUCUCCAAGCGUCUUAUCAAGAUCCGCGGGAGAAUGAGGGAGGAUCCGUUUUCUUUCGAAAUGUUGUUUCCCACAACCGGGAUCUCCUUGAGGCGGAAAGCUCCGCAAGGAGGUGCCUGGAAGUGGAACAGAGGAUCCGGUGGGAAGAAAUGCCCAAGAGCAAGGCAAGUCUCGAAAGAGCUAAGCACGAGCAUGCUCUCAACUUGUUUAAGUCGGAGGAUCUUAGAAGGGAAUUAGAAAAAAAAGAGCAGGGAGGGGGAGACCCAAUAUUAUACCAGCAUCUCUUUUGGUUCUUCGGUCAUCCAGAGGUGUAUAUUCUCAUUCUACCUGGAUUUGGUAUUAUUAGUCAUAUCGUAUCGACCUUUUCAAGAAAACCGGUCUUUGGGUAUCUAGGCAUGGUUUAUGCCAUGAUAAGUAUAGGUGUUCUUGUAUUUCUAGUUUGGGCUCAUCAUAUGUUUACUGUGGGCUUAGACGUUGAUAUGCGUGCCUACUUCACCGCAGCUACCAUGAUCAUAGCUGUGCCCACAGGAAUCAAAAUCUUUAGUUGGAUCGCUACCAUGUGGGGAGGUUCGAUACAAUACAAAACACCCAUGUUAUUUGUUGUAGGGUUCAUCUUUUUGUUCACCAUAGGAGGGCUCACUGGAAUAGUUCUAGCAAACUCUGGGCUAGACAUUGGUCUACAUGAUACUUAUUAUGUGGUUGCACAUUUCCAUUAUGUACUUUCUAUGGGAGCCGUUUUUUCUUUAUUUGCUGGAUUUUACUAUUGGGUGGGUAAAAUCUUUGGUCAGACAUAUCCUGAAACUUUAGGCCAAAUCCAUUUUUGGAUCACUUUUUUCGGGGUUAAUCUGACCUUCUUUCCCAUGCAUUUCUUAGGGCUUUCGGGUAUGUCACAUCGCAUUCCAGAUUAUCCAGAUGCUUACGCCAGAUGGAAUGCUCUGAGCAGUUUCGGUUCUUAUAUAUCCGUAGUUGGGAUUCGUCGUUUCUUCGUAGUUGUCGCAAUCACUUCAAGCAGUGGAAAGAACCAAAAAUGUGCGGAAAGUCCUUGGGCUGUUGAACAGAAUCCAACCACACUAGAAUGGUUGGUACAAAGCCCUCCGGCCUUUCAUACUUUUGGAGAACUUCCUGCGGUAAAAGAGACAAAAAGCUAA